rnacentral:rRNA from 1 species
AUAAUGGGUCAGCGACUUAUAUUCUGUAGCAAGGUUAACCGAAUAGGGGAGCCGAAGGGAAACCGAGUCUUAACUGGGCGUUAAGUUGCAGGGUAUAGACCCGAAACCCGGUGAUCUAGCCAUGGGCAGGUUGAAGGUUGGGUAACACUAACUGGAGGACCGAACCGACUAAUGUUGAAAAAUUAGCGGAUGACUUGUGGCUGGGGGUGAAAGGCCAAUCAAACCGGGAGAUAGCUGGUUCUCCCCGAAAGCUAUUUAGGUAGCGCCUCGUGAAUUCAUCUCCGGGGGUAGAGCACUGUUUCGGCAAGGGGGUCAUCCCGACUUACCAACCCGAUGCAAACUGCGAAUACCGGAGAAUGUUAUCACGGGAGACACACGGCGGGUGCUAACGUCCGUCGUGAAGAGGGAAACAACCCAGACCGCCAGCUAAGGUCCCAAAGUCAUGGUUAAGUGGGAAACGAUGUGGGAAGGCCCAGACAGCCAGGAUGUUGGCUUAGAAGCAGCCAUCAUUUAAAGAAAGCGUAAUAGCUCACUGGUCGAGUCGGCCUGCGCGGAAGAUGUAACGGGGCUAAACCAUGCACCGAAGCUGCGGCAGCGACGCUGAUGCGUUGUUGGGUAGGGGAGCGUUCUGUAAGCCUGCGAAGGUGUGCUGUGAGGCAUGCUGGAGGUAUCAGAAGUGCGAAUGCUGACAUAAGUAACGAUAAAGCGGGUGAAAAGCCCGCUCGCCGGAAGACCAAGGGUUCCUGUCCAACGUUAAUCGGGGCAGGGUGAGUCGACCCCUAAGGCGAGGCCGAAAGGCGUAGUCGAUGGGAAACAGGUUAAUAUUCCUGUACUUGGUGUUACUGCGAAGGGGGGACGGAGAAGGCUAUGUUGGCCGGGCGACGGUUGUCCCGGUUUAAGCGUGUAGGCUGGUUUUCCAGGCAAAUCCGGAAAAUCAAGGCUGAGGCGUGAUGACGAGGCACUACGGUGCUGAAGCAACAAAUGCCCUGCUUCCAGGAAAAGCCUCUAAGCAUCAGGUAACAUCAAAUCGUACCCCAAACCGACACAGGUGGUCAGGUAGAGAAUACCAAGGCGCUUGAGAGAACUCGGGUGAAGGAACUAGGCAAAAUGGUGCCGUAACUUCGGGAGAAGGCACGCUGAUAUGUAGGUGAAGUCCCUCGCGGAUGGAGCUGAAAUCAGUCGAAGAUACCAGCUGGCUGCAACUGUUUAUUAAAAACACAGCACUGUGCAAACACGAAAGUGGACGUAUACGGUGUGACGCCUGCCCGGUGCCGGAAGGUUAAUUGAUGGGGUCAGCGCAAGCGAAGCUCUUGAUCGAAGCCCCGGUAAACGGCGGCCGUAACUAUAACGGUCCUAAGGUAGCGAAAUUCCUUGUCGGGUAAGUUCCGACCUGCACGAAUGGCGUAAUGAUGGCCAGGCUGUCUCCACCCGAGACUCAGUGAAAUUGAACUCGCUGUGAAGAUGCAGUGUACCCGCGGCAAGACGGAAAGACCCCGUGAACCUUUACUAUAGCUUGACACUGAACAUUGAGCCUUGAUGUGUAGGAUAGGUGGGAGGCUUUGAAGUGUGGACGCCAGUCUGCAUGGAGCCGACCUUGAAAUACCACCCUUUAAUGUUU